CCUAAAUGUGAGACAAUUGUGAAAAGUGGAGGACAGAGCCACCUGGUUAAAUACAGCCCCAGCUUUCUGGUGAGAGGACUGAAACCAAGAUGUGUCAAGUAACUAGAAUGUGCCUGGACAGAUACUGUAGAAAGCAAAACCAUAAAGUUGUUCAUGAGCUUGUGGACGCACCUGCCAGCUGUGAAUAAGUGGCUCUAAUCCCGAACAACUUACCUAAAAAGAGCCUGAGAGCUGAACUGUGCAAUGGCCCACUUUCCAGUCCUCACUGACCACUGGGUUGCACACACUUUGGAGAUCUCUGAACAGCAGUGUCAAGGCUUUCAAAUAGAGUUAUCUUUGAAACGACAACACAUGAAAGUCUGGUUGGUACUUGGAGCUUAAAUACAAGGCAAUUGUGUGCCUGCAAAAACAAAAAUAGCAAUAUUAUCCUUAAGAUUUCAACAAGACACAGUGUCUCAUCACAUAAUCCAAAGAAGUCCAGGUUACAAGCCCCACAAUAUUCAGCAUUAUGAAAAAACAGGGAGAUCUUAAUUCACAUGGCAAAGAGAAUCCUCGAAUAACAAUAUUGAGAGGACACAGAUGUCAAAAUCAUCUGACACAUACAUUAAAGCAGAUAUUAUAACAAUGCUCCUAGAAUCGGGGAUAACAUUCGUGAAGUGAAUGGAAAGUUGGAAAGUCUCACCAAAUAUUUCGAAUACAUAAACACCAAUUUAAACUUAAGAAUUAAAAAAAUGUAUUAACCAAAACUCUUAGGGGAAAUAAAAAGCUUAAUUGGAGGAUCUCCAUAAUCGAAUGCAGAAGACUAAGGAAAAAGUCAAUGAACUUGAAAACAGAACACGAAUACCUACAUAAUCUGAACUAUAGAGAGAAAGGAGGAUUUUAUUGUCUCUGAACAGAGGCUCAGGCACAAAUAAAAAAUAACAAAUCCAACAUUCACAUUAUUGUAAUCUGGAAAGAAGAGGACAAAGUGGUCUUUGUGGGAUAAAACUUUGAACAAUUAAUAGCUGAAAAUGGUUCAAAUUUGUCAAAAGAUAUAAACCAGAUUUUUAAAGUUCAGUAAAUGUCAAUCAGGAUAAACCCAAAGAAACCCAUAGCAAGGCAUAUCAUAAUCAAACUGCUGAAAACUAAGAAAAUACAAAACAAUUUUGAAAGCAGCCAAAGGGAAAUGAAAGAGAAACUACCAAAUGAAUGAUUGUAGAUUUCGCAUCAGGAACCAUAGGGGCCAGAAAAAAUGUCAUAACAUUCGGUAAGUAACAAAAGAAAAAGACAUAUCGACCCAGAAUGCUAUGUGGAGCAAAAGUAUCUUCCAGACAUAAAGGCAAAUAAAUGCAUUCUCAGUGGAAGGUAAGUAAAUACAUUCUCAUUCUUAGGAAGACUGCUGGAAAAGAAUUAGCAAAGAUUUGAGAUAAGAAAAAUGAUACCAGAAGGAAACUUAGAACAUCAUCAGUGAAGGAACAAAAGCAGAAAUAGAACAUGUCUGGGUAGACAUAACAGACUAUUAUUCUUCCCUUGAGUUCCUUAAGGAGACUACGGAAAAGAAGAGUGACUAAGAUCUCUGAAGAAGGGAAAAGCUAGAUGACUGGGCCACAAGAGAAAAAAAGCAGCAAGACAGAGAUUUGUUGGUGCCAACUAAAUGAGCCCAACAGCCAGUGACAACAGAACUGCACUAAAAAAAGUCCCUCAUCAGCUCUUGAGAGCAGGUUCCUUAAAGGUGAACAAUAUUCCACAUACAAGGACUUUUUCAGCACCAUGCAUUAGAAAUGGAAGUGAAUGUUUAUUAUUUUUUGUAUAAGUUGGUUGAUACGGCUUUUCAGCUUCCCUCAGUAUCAUUAUCCAAAUUUUGUAGAUGACACUAAAGCUCAGAGGAGUUAAACCAUUUUCCUCAAAUCACAUAGCUUUAAAUAGGAAAACCAGAUAUGAAAAGCAGAUUUUUUUCUAAAUUAAAAAAAAAAAAAAAACUUGAGCUCUUGCUUUACCCUAGCACAUAGUCUCACCAUCUGUUUUCUCCAUGCCAGGUCAUUCAUGUAACAUUCAUUCACAUAACAAAUACAAAUAAAUGAGUGGAUUCAUUCAUCAGCUAUUAAUUCAGAAUCUCUUUUGUGUCUACCACACUAGGCUCAAGACUUCCCAGUGUCUUUGUCUCCUCUCCCUCAAAUCUCUCCACCCAAUGUCUUGACAAAUACUGUAGAUCCUUCCUGCACAGCAUCACCAGAAUGUUUUUCUUUCUUUUCAUUCACCUCUGUCAUCAUCCAUGCUAUGGUGUUUAUGGAGGAUGUAUUCUGCAGCAGGAAGUGUGAUGGGCACUGACGCUGCAGAAAGACUCCUGUUGUCCACCUCGGGAGCUGACACGAUAAAUGCGGAGAAUGAGUAGCCACUGCACCUUGCCCUGGGCCAUCAGUGAGAAGAUCUGCUCUUAGUAGAGCCCUGCUUUCCCGCUGAAGGCCCUGAAAUCCCCUGUGUUCCAGGCCACCCACUAAGGAUCAAUAAAGCUCCCCUGAUGUGGGGGAAUUAGCUCAAGUGGUAGAGCGCUUGCUUAGCAUGCAAGAGGUAGUGGGAUCGAUGCCCACAUUCUCCAAACUUUAUUAUUUAGACCCUGGGUCUCCAAACACUCAGGUCUCCAAACCCAAGUCAGAGAACAGGAUGCUGCUUUGGUUCAAGAUGUAGGAGCAGCAACAAUACAGGGCUGGUGACGGCUCCCUCCUGGCAUUCAGUAUAGUGUAGAUCUACCGUGUAAUUAAUUUUCUGCUUCUUUGAGGAGCUGUGAAACCAAGGGACAUAAACAAUUGCUCUUUUCUCCCUGUUUCUGCCUGUAGCUUGAAUGUGAGGCAACUGUGAAAAGUGCAGGGCAGAGCCACCUGGGUAAAUACAGCCCUGGCUUUCUGGUGAGAGGACUGAAACCAGGAUGUGUCAAGUAACUAGAAUGUGCCUGGACAGAUACUGUAGAAAGCAAACCCAUAAAGUUGUUCAUGAGCUUGUGGACGCACCUGCCAGCUGUGAAUAAGUGGGUCUAAUCCCAAACAACUUACCUAAAAAGAGCCUGAGGACUGAACUAAACAAUGGUCCGCUUUCCAGUCCUCACUGACCACUGGUUGCACACACUCCAGAGAUCUCUCAUCCGCAGUGUCAAGGCUUUCAAAUAGAGUUAUCUGUGAAACAACAACACAUGGAAGUCUGGUUGGUACUUGGAGCUUAAAUACAAGGCAAUUGUGUGCCUGCAAAAACAAAAAGAGCAAUAUUAUCCUUAAGAUUUCAACAAGACACAGUGUCUCAUCACAUAAUCCAAAGAAGUCCAGGUUACAAGCCCCAAAAUAUUCAGCAUUAUGAAAAACCAGGGAGAUCUUAAUUCACAUGGCAAAGAGAAUCCUUGCAUAACAAUAUUGAGAGGACACAUAUGUCAAAAUCAUCUGACACAUACAUUAAAGCAGUUAUUAUAACAAUGCUCCUAGAAUUACGGGAUAGCAUUCAUGAAGUGAAUGGAAAGUUGGAAAGUCUCACCAAAUAUUUGGAAUAUGUAAACACCAAUUUAAACUUAAGAAUUAAAAAAAGUAUUAACCAAAACUAUUAGGGGAAAUAAAAAGCUUAAUUGGAUGAUCUCAAUAGCAGUAUGCAGAAGACUAAGGAAAAAGUCAAUGAACUUGAAAACGGAACAAGAAUACCUACAGAAUCUGACCUAUAGAAAGAAAGGAGGAUUUUAUUGUCCCUGAACAGAGGCUCAGGGACAAAUAAAAAAUAACAAAUCUAACAUUCACAUUAUUGUAAUCUGGAAACAUUCACAUUAUUGUAAGAGGACAAAGAGGUCUUUGUGGGAUAAAACUGUGAAGAAUUAAUGGCUGAAAAUGUAUCAAAUUUCUCAAAAGAUAUAAACCAGAUUUUUAAAGUUCAGUAAAUGUCAAGCAGGAUAAACCAAAAGAAACCCAUUGCAAGACAUAUCAUAAUCAAACUGCGGAAAAUUAAGAAAACACAAAACAAUUUUGAAAGCAGCCAAAGGGAAAUGAAAGAUAAAAUACCAAAUGAAUGAUUGUAGAUUUCUCAUCGGGAACCCAGGAGCCAGAAAAAAAUGUCAUAACAUUCAGUAAAUACCAAAGGAAAAAUACAUUAUCAACCCAGAAUGGUAUGUGGAGCAAAAGUAUCUUCCAGACAUAAAGGCAAAUAAAUGCAUUCUCAUUGGAAGGUAAAUAAAUACAUUCUCAGUCCUAGCAAAACUGCUGGAAAAGAAUUAGCAAAGGUUUGAGAUAAGAAAAGUGAUACCAGAAGGAAACUUAGAACAUCAUCAAUGAAGGAACAAAAGCAGAAAUAGAAAAUGUCUGGGUAGACAUAACAGACUAUUAUUCUUCUCUUGAGUUCCUUAAGGUAUGUUUGAUGGUUGAAAGCAAAAAUUGUAACUUUAUCUGAUGCAGUUGUCAUUGUAUCUAGAUGUACUACAUACAUAAGAUAAAAGGGUAAAUGUAAUGGGACUAACUCUUGAUGAAGUUUCUAUAUUCAACUUGAAUGGUAAAAUAUUGAUUCUUAGUAUACUGUGAAAAGUUAUAUAUGUAUAUGGUAAUCCCUAGACCACUUAACAACCAGAUUGAAAUAAACCAAAACAAGAUAGACAGAGGAACAUAGAAGAAUUAAAACAAAGGGAAAAAAGGUUAAUAAAUUAUUAAAUAGUAGAUCUAUCUAAAAACUUAUCUAUAAUAACAUUAUAUGUAAAUUAUCUAAAUGCAUUAAGUAAAAACUAGAGAUCAUCAGAAUGUGUUAAAAAUAAAUAUGCUGACUAAAGAAAGCCACCUGCAAUACACUUAUAAAUAAGAAUAAAAGUUAUAGAGCAGAUUGAAAGAAAAGAGUGGGAAAAGAUACCUCAUGCAAGCAUUAAUCAAAGACAGCUGUGGUGUAUAUAUAUAAAAUCAGACAAAGUAGAUUUGAAAGCAGAGAAACUUUUCAGGAAUAAUGAGGCCUCCUAAAUAAUUAUGAUUGUCAAUUUUUCAGGAGAAUAUUGUCCCAAAUGUAUAUGAGGACACAGAGCUUCAAAACUCAUAAACAAAAUUGGAUACGCCAAGUAAAAAUAGAAAAAUCCAGUUAUAGUUGCAGUCAUUAACACUCCUCUCUGAGUAAUUGGAAGAUUUAGUGGAACACAAAUCAACAGACAUACUGGAGAAUUGAACCAUGCCAUCCAGUAAUGGACCUAUCAAUUUCAUAAUGCAAAAUAAAAAUUCAGGUAGAAAGCAAAGACAAAAAUUAAAAGAAAAGCAAGAUCAUGUUAUAAUGAGAAAAUUAAGAGUAGUCCAGUGUAUAGAAGGGUGCUAUUAUUGAAAGAGUUUGAAAUAGUGACUUAGUUAUUUUGAAACAUUUUUGAAGACGUUAUUUAGCUGGAAAUGACAGAAAGACUGAAAAUGGUGAAUGUGGAGGUGGAUCUUCCCUUGUCCAUAUUUAUCUUGUCUUCGUUUGAGGUCUGGGGUGUCUAUACUUCCUCUGAAUUACCUGAUCUUACUACAGUGUCUGGCACAGAGCAUCUCCCCAGUGAAUAUGUACUAAAUGAGUAGAAAGUAAUUGAUAGAUUCAAAAGAGUUGUGCAAGAAUAAUGUUCAUUAUUUGACUAAUCACUGAAUGUGGUGUUUCAAGGAAGACAAUGAAUCAAAGUUGACUUGAAAGGUAAGCCCAGGGCCAGACGUGGUGGCUCAUUUCUGUAAUCCCAGCACUUUGGGAGGCCGAGAUCAGUGGAUCCCUUGACACCAGGAG
rnacentral:lncRNA from 1 species